rnacentral:rRNA from 1 species
AGAACGAACGCUGGCGGCAUGCCUAACACAUGCAAGUCGAACGAGACCUUCGGGUCUAGUGGCGCACGGGUGCGUAACGCGUGGGAAUCUGCCCUUGGGUUCGGAAUAACAGUUGGAAACGGCUGCUAAUACCGGAUGAUGUCUUCGGACCAAAGAUUUAUCGCCCAGGGAUGAGCCCGCGUAGGAUUAGCUUGUUGGUGAGGUAAAGGCUCACCAAGGCGACGAUCCUUAGCUGGUCUGAGAGGAUGAUCAGCACACUGGGACUGAGACACGGCCCAGACUCCUACGGGAGCAGCAGUGGGGAAUAUGGACAAUGGGCGAAAGCCUGAUCCAGCAAUGCCGCGUGAGUGAUGAAGGCCUUAGGUUGUAAAGCUACUUUACCCGGGAUGAAUAUAGACGAGUACCGGAUAAGUAAGCUACCGGCUAACGUCCGUGCCAGCAGCCGAC